rnacentral:rRNA from 1 species
AUUGAACGCUGGCGGCAUGCCUUACACAUGCAAGUCGAACGGCAGCAUGAUCUAGCUUGCUAGAUUGAUGGCGAGUGGCGAACGGGUGAGUAAUACAUCGGAACGUGCCCUGUUGUGGGGGAUAACUAGUCGAAAGAUUAGCUAAUACCGCAUACGACCUGAGGGUGAAAGUGGGGGACCGCAAGGCCUCAUGCUAUAGUAGCGGCCGAUGUCUGAUUAGCUAGUUGGUGAGGUAAAGGCUCACCAAGGCGACGAUCAGUAGCUGGUCUGAGAGGACGAUCAGCCACACUGGGACUGAGACACGGCCCAGACUCCUACGGGAGGCAGCAGUGGGGAAUUUUGGACAAAGGGCGAAAGCCUGAUCCAGCAAUGCCGCGUGUGUGAAGAAGGCCUUCGGGUUGUAAAGCACUUUUGUCCGGAAAGAAAUGGCUCUGGUUAAUACCUGGGGUCGAUGACGGUACCGGAAGAAUAAGGACCGGCUAACUACGUG